UUUUUGGAGAGUUUGAUCCUGGCUCAGGACGAACGCUGGCGGCGUGCCUAAUACAUGCAAGUCGAGCGGACUUUUAAAAGCUUGCUUUUAAAAGUUAGC
rnacentral:rRNA from 1 species